rnacentral:rRNA from 1 species
GACGAACGCUGGCGGCGUGCUUAACACAUGCAAGUCGAACGGAAAGGCCCUGCUUUUGUGGGGUGCUCGAGUGGCGAACGGGUGAGUAACACGUGAGUAACCUGCCCUUGACUUUGGGAUAACUUCAGGAAACUGGGGCUAAUACCGGAUAGGAGCUCCUGCUGCAUGGUGGGGGUUGGAAAGUUUCGGCGGUUGGGGAUGGACUCGCGGCUUAUCAGCUUGUUGGUGGGGUAGUGGCUUACCAAGGCUUUGACAGGUAGCCGGCCUGAGAGGGUGACCGGCCACAUUGGGACUGAGAUACGGCCCAGACUCCUACGGGAGGCAGCAGUGGGGAAUAUUGCACAAUGGGCGGAAGCCUGAUGCAGCAACGCCGCGUGCGGGAUGACGGCCUUCGGGUUGUAAACCGCUUCCGCCUGUGACGAAGCGUGAGUGACGGUAAUGGGUAAAGAAGCACCGGCUAACUACGUG